rnacentral:rRNA from 1 species
AUGGGUGACUAUCUAGCACUGUUCAGAGAGCACAUGUAUGUAGUCUGCGCUGGUGAAUGGAAGCCCCCGCCGCAAAAAGUAAGCGGCUCUUCCCAUGGCUCUGUCACCAUUGACUCUAUUCAUUAUUAUGGUAAAUCAUUGUAUCAAGAUGUCAAUCUUAGAUCUUAUUUUAGUUCGAUACGUCCACCUACGAAACUCGCCCUUGGCUUUCGUCUCGGUAGGUGUAUUAUUCUACAUUUUCCCAAAAGGACAUUCAUUCAUUUCUUUCUUCCCGGGCGAUCACCACGACUAAAACGAAAACAAGACAAGAAAUCAAGACCCGUACUAUAG